rnacentral:misc_RNA from 1 species
GUUAAAGCUACUUUUUUUUUCAACACUGCAUUUCACUUUCCAUUUCUCUCUUCUUCUUCCUCUGUCUCAGCCGCUUUCUCCGCCAAUCACUGCUCUCUAUUCUGUCUCCCUCCAAAAAUAGCUGCUUUUAUCUUCUCUCCUAUGCCUGCAUAAACACUAAAGCCCAGCUUCUUGUUUUCCCUCAUUUUUUAUUUUUCUUUUCUGCACUCUGCGCACCUCUCUGCACUGCUUCGCAGAGAAUUCAAAAGAAAUUUUCUCUUAUUUUUUCUCAGCUUAGACGAAUAUUAUAUAAAAUGAAGAAACGCCAUCUAGAUCCUACAUUUGUUUUUCUUUUCUUCCUCUGUCUUCUCUCUGCUGCACAAGCUCAGAGCGAGGACACCGCAGUGAUGGUUAAACUCAGAGAUAGCCUUGGUGACUCGAAAAGUUUAGGGUGGUCUGGUUUUGACCCAUGUAACUGGAAACAAGUCUCAUGCGAUGGUAGCAAGCGGGUGACCGGCAUCCAAAUCGGCAACCAGAACCUUGAGGGCACUCUUCCUCCAGAACUAAAAAAUCUGACGGCUUUGGUGAAGCUUGAGGUAAUGGGCAACAAGUUAAAGGGUCCAGUACCGAGUCUUUCUGGGUUAAGCUCGCUUCAAGAAGUCCUUUUACAUAAUAAUGGUUUCACUUCAUUUCCUUCCGAUUUCUUUGACGGGAUGACGUCGUUAAUGUCUGUGAGUCUGGAUUAUAAUCCAUUUCAACCCUGGGAGAUACCUUCCAGUCUUAGAAGUGCCACUGCCUUGAAGGAUUUCUCUGCUAAUGGGGCUAAUAUAACUGGCACAAUCCCUGAUUUUUUCAACAAUGAUGUGUUUCCUGGACUGGAAAGUCUGCAUUUGGCAAUGAAUUUUUUGGAGGGUGUACUGCCAGCGAAUUUUUCACAGGCAUCUUUUAUUACUUCCCUUUGGCUCAAUAGCCAAAAGAGUAAUUCCCGACUCAAUGGUACAAUUACUGUCUUACAAAACAUGACUAGUUUGACGGAGAUUUGGUUACAUAGUAAUCAGUUCACCGGUCCAUUACCGGAAUUUACUGGGUUUAAUGGGUUAGAGAAAGUGAGUUUAAGGGAUAAUCAGCUUACUGGUAUUGUUCCGGCAUCACUUGUGAACCUUCCCACACUUUCUGUUGUCAAUUUGACUAAUAAUCUGCUUCAGGGGCCAACACCAAAAUUUCCUAGUCAAGUUAUUGGGGAUAUGAAUGACGGUUCUAAUAGAUUUUGCCUACCUACUCCUGCUUCCUGUGACCAUCGUGUUGAUGUUCUGUUAUCAAUUGUGAGAGACUUUGGAUACCCUGCUAGUUUAGCUGAGAGUUGGGAAAGUAAUGACCCUUGCGCACAGUGGAAAGGCAUUUCAUGUUCACCUGAAGGGAACAUUACGGUUAUCAACUUCCACAAUAUGGAGCUUACUGGUACAAUUUCUCCAAGUUUUUCACUGAUUCCUUCAUUGCAAAAAUUGAUUUUGGCAGAUAAUUUGCUUACUGGUACUAUACCAACUGAGCUUGCAACUCUGCCUAGUCUUACUUCAUUAAACGUUGCAAACAAUAGGCUAUAUGGUAAGGUACCUAGUUUCAGUCAAACAGAAGUGAUAACUUCUGGAAACCCUGAUAUUGGAAAGGAUCAUAGUAGCUUCCCCCCAACUAGUACGCCUCCUGGGACACCCAACACACCUGGCAAAGAUGGAGGAGGUGGUUCUGAUGGAAGUGGUGGUAAGAAUUCUAGUAAGGGAAAGAUUGUGGGUUCUGUAAUUGGUGUUGUUUGUGGAUUAUGUAUCAUUGGACUGGGUGUGCUUUUCUUUAGAAGGAAACGGAAACAAUACAGUAGGGUACAGAGUCCAAAUAUGAUGGUUAUUCAUCCUGGCCAUUCUGGAGAUCAGGAUGCUGUGAAAAUUACUGUUGCCGAAUCAAGCACCAAUGGUACUGUUGAGAGCUAUACUGAUAGUGGUGGACUUAGUGACAUUCAUGUAGUUGAUACUGGGAAUAUGGUGAUUUCAAUUCAAGUUUUGAGAAAUGUGACUAACAAUUUCAGCGAAGAGAACAUACUAGGAAGAGGAGGAUUUGGGACUGUUUACAAGGGAGAACUGCAUGAUGGGACAAAAAUCGCAGUAAAGAGAAUGGAAUCUGGAGUGAUGAGUGAAAAGGGUCUGGCAGAGUUCAAGUCUGAGAUUGCGGUGCUCACUAAGGUCCGGCAUCGGCACUUAGUUGCACUACUUGGAUAUUGCUUGGAUGGAAAUGAGAGACUUCUUGUUUAUGAAUAUAUGCCUCAGGGGACACUUAGUAGAUAUCUCUUUAAUUGGAAGGUGGAGGGGUUGAAACCACUUGAAUGGACUAGAAGAUUGACCGUAGCCUUGGAUGUUGCCAGGGGUGUUGAAUAUCUGCAUGGACUAGCACAUCAAAGUUUUAUUCACAGGGAUCUGAAGCCUUCCAACAUUCUUCUUGGAGAUGAUAUGCGGGCCAAGGUUGCAGAUUUUGGACUCGUUCGUCUUGCUCCAGAUGGGAAAGCCUCAAUUGAAACAAGACUAGCUGGAACUUUUGGGUAUCUUGCACCAGAAUAUGCUGGUAACUCAUCUUUAAAUUUCAUGAUUCAUUUUAUGUGAUCAGAGUAAGUAUUUUGUUCCUUGCAUUUAUUAUAACCAAAAAGAGAACAAGAAUUGAGUAUCAAGUUUUGUGCCAUAAGCAUAUAGACAAACAUCAUGUUUUGAGAAGGCAUAACAGAGAAAGCAAUAAUCUUAAUCUCCCCUGCAAUCUUUACUUGAUGAUCUAUAAUAACAAUGCAGUCCUAUUUCUAUGUAUGGAACAUGAAUACUUCAACAAAUAAUUUUGUUUUAGUUCAGGUUAAAGAUUAAGUUUUAACAUGCUUAACUGGAAUUUUUUUAAUGCCUUGGCAGCGACUGGACGAGUGACUACCAAGGUUGAUGUGUUUAGCUAUGGUGUGAUACUAAUGGAGAUGAUCACCGGAAGAAAAGCUCUUGAUGAUACCCAGCCCGAGGAUCGCUUGCACCUUGUUACUUGGUUCCGUAGGAUGCACACCAACAAGGACACAUUCCGCAAGAGUAUUGACCCAACUAUUGAGCUUGACGAGGAGACCCUUGCCAGCAUUAGCACAGUUGCUGAGCUAGCUGGCCACUGUACUGCAAGAGAACCCUACCAGAGGCCUGACAUGGGUCAUGUGGUUAAUGUUCUUUCAUCUCUUGUUGAGCUGUGGAAACCAGCAGAACCAGAUUCUGAUUACUUGUAUGGGAUUGACCUUGAAAUGACCUUGCCUCAGGCACUCAAGAAGUGGCAAGCACUUGAGGGAAGCAAUUUGGAUUCCUCUUCUUCACUUGCUACUAGUGGGGAUAAUACACAAACCAGUAUACCCACUCGACCAUAUGGCUUUGCGGAAUCAUUUACAUCAUCAGAUGGACGGUAAAUGAAGAAAAGAAAAAGUUUGAGAUAUGAUGAGAUGCCUUUAAUUAUGUUUCGUUUAUUCUUCUGCUUGUUCUUGUAAGGUUUGCCCUCUCUAUAUGAAUAUUUUGUUUGCUCAUGCUCUCUUCCCCUCCCCCCUCUAUCUUUCCCUCUCUCUCCCCAAGUAGGUUGAAAAAAUUUUACAUUUUUCUGUGCUCCUUUAGAGGCUAGGAAUUGCAAACAGAGAGAUAGUCCUCAAGAAUGGGAUUACCUUUAUUUGUCAUCUUUUCAUUUCUUUUGUUUCUUUUCAUGUCUCCUUGAUAUCUGAUUUACAUUUAGUUCAGCAUCUCCCUUUUGUUUUACAAGAUUCCUAGCAUAAAACUUUUGCAUUGCAGCCCAUAGUUGAACAUAAUCCUAUUUCGUAAAGCGGAUGCCAAGGACCCUAUGUGGUUAAUGAGAUGUAAAUUGUUUAAAGAUGCCAACUUUUAUUUUGUUUAUUCCAGGAGAUCAUUACAUUGAACAAAUUUUAUGUACGUAUAGCUUUACUGCUUGGGAUCCGUCAUAAAAGCUAUGGUUAUGCAAUCUAUUUCUAACCACUGAUAUGAGAAUGUUUUGUUCUAGAAAUGAUGGAGGAGCCAAUUUGCAUUCACCUAUGCAUGUGAGCUACAGUUUUUUGCAUGUUGUGGAUUGAGCAGGUCAAUCAGACCUAUUGAUUGGUUCACACUUGUGGGAUUCAAUGGUCCAUCGUGGACAUCACUUCUUGAUGAUAAAAGGAAGUUCUUAAUUCUAUAUAUAAUUAUAUAUUCAGUGUUUUAGGUGGAGGGUAUAACGUAAAAUUGAUUGAUUUGAGACUGCGUGAACAGUUCAUCCAAUGUCGUUUAUGUGACGAGACAAGUCAAUGCCGUAUGUCAGGCGUGGAGCGGCUGUAUGGUAUGCAUGCCAGCUGCAAAUCUUUG